rfam:Ixodes scapularis strain Wikel colony gcontig_1108379481338, whole genome shotgun sequence.
GCAGUUGUGGCCGAGUGGUUAAGGCGAUGGACUAUUAAUCCAUUGGGGUCUCCCCGCACAGGUGCAAAUUCUGUCAACCGCU